rnacentral:rRNA from 1 species
GACGAACGCUGGCGGCGCGCCUAACACAUGCAAGUCGAACGAACGAGACAAGGCUUGCUUUCCCGAGCGAGUGGCGAACGGCUGAGUAGCGCAUGAGGAACCUGCCCUCAGAGAGGGGGACACCUGUUGAAAACAACUGCUAAUACCGCAUAGUCCCACAGGCCGGCGAUCGACCAUAGGGAAAAGGAGCCAUCCGCUUUGAGAUGGCCUCGCCUCAGAUUACCUCGUUGGUGAGGUAAUGGCCCGCCAGGGCGACGAUCGGCAGCCGGACUGACAGGUUGAACAGCCACAUUGGGACUGACACACUGGCCACACUCCUACGGGAGGCCGCAGUGGGGAAUAUUGCACAAUGGGCGAACCCGUGACGCAGAGACGCCGCGUGGAGGAAGAAGGUCUUCGGAUUGUAAAUUCCUGUGGUUGAUGAAGAUAAUGACGGUACUCUCCAAGGAAGUGUCGGCUAACUACGUGCCAGCAGCCGCGGUAAAACGUAGGUCACAAGCGUUGUCCGGAAUUACUGGGUGUAAAGGGAGCGCAGGCGGGAAGACAAGUCGGAAGUGAAAUCUAUGGGCUCAACCCAUAAACUGCUUUCAAAACUGUUUUUCUUGAGUAGUGCAGAGGUAGGCGGAAUUCCCGGUGUAGCGGUGGAAUGCGUAGAUAUCGGGAGGAACACCAGUGGCGAAGGCGGCCUACUGGGCACCAACUGACGCUGAGGCUCGAAAGUGUGGGUAGCAAACAGGAUUAGAUACCCUGGUAGUCCACACCGUAAACGAAGAUUACUAGGUGGGGGAGGAAUGCCUCCUUCACUGCAGCAGUCAACAACAAUAAUUAAUCCACCUGGGGAGUAUGGCCGCAAGGUUGAUAAUCAAAGGAAUUGACGGGGGCCCCCACCAGCAGUGGAGUAUGUGGUUUAAUUAGACGCAACGCGAAGAACCUCACCAAGUCUCGUCAUCCCUUGGCGAACAUAGAAAUAUGUUUUCUUUUUGGAGCAAGGAGACAGGUGGGGCAUGGUUGUUGUUAGCUUGUGUUGUGGGAAGGUGGGGUAAGUUCCGCCACGAGCGCCACCCCUUCUGUCUGUUUGUUCGCAAGAAGAAUUUUGCAGGGAUGCCGUUGGCAAAAAGGAGGAAGGGGGGGGGGGAGUCAAAUUAUCAUUCCCCCUAUGAUUUGGGGUUCCCCCGUACUUCAAAGGCGGUAAACAAAAAGAAGCAAGACCGCGGGGGGGGGGAAAACUCAGAAAAAACGUCCCAGUUCGGAUUGCAGGCUGCAACUCGCCUGCACGAAGUCGGAAUUGCUAGUAAUCGUGGAUCAGCAUGCCGCGGUGAAUACAAUCCCGGGCCUUGCACA